GGGGAAUCUUCCGCAAUGGACGAAAGUCUGACGGAGCAACGCCGCGUGAGUGAUGACGGCCUUCGGGUUGUAAAGCUCUGUUAAUCGGGACGAAUGGUUCUUGUGCGAAUAGUGCGAGGAUUUGACGGUACCGGAAUAGAAAGCCACGGCUAACUACGUGCCAGCAGCCGCGGUAAUACGUAGGUGGCAAGCGUUGUCCGGAAUUAUUGGGCGUAAGGCGCGCGCAGGCGGAUUGGUCAGUCUGUCUUAAAAGUUCGGGGCUUAACCCCGUGAUGGGAUGGAAACUGCCAAUCUAGAGUAUCGGAGAGGAAAGUGGAAUUCCUAGUGUAGCGGUGAAAUGCGUAGAUAUUAGGAAGAACACCAGUGGCGAAGGCGACUUUCUGGACGAAAACUGACGCUGAGGCGCGAAAGCCAGGGGAGCGAACGGGAUUAGAUACCCCGGUAGUCCUGGCCGUAAACGAUGGGUACUAGGUGUAGGAGGUAUCGACCCCUUCUGUGCCGGAGUUAACGCAAUAAGUACCCCGCCUGGGGAGUACGACCGCAAGGUUG
rnacentral:rRNA from 1 species